rnacentral:pre_miRNA from 1 species
CUGCUACUCCCUCCGUCCGGAAAUACUUGUCAUCAAGAUGAAUAAAAAGGGAUGUAUCUAGAUGUAUUUUAGUUCUAGAUACACCUCUUUUUAUCCAUUUUGAUGACAAGUAUUUCCGGACGGAGGGAGUACGAA